rnacentral:sRNA from 1 species
AAGCUUAUAUAAAGUCAUCACAAGAUUUAAGAUAUGUCGAAUCAUCCAACGGAGGAGUAGUGUUUAGCGCUAUCAAAGCCUGGAAUGGAAAGUUUGUUCUCUUUCACGGAACGGUUAUGCCUUCCUACGAUUUGUAAAUGCCUCUAUGCCCAUAGUCACGUGUCUGAUACCUGAACAUAUUCCAAGGACUUUCUACAGUUGUCCUUUCUCAAGAAGCGAUAGUUUUCGUUUGUACACACAUCGGGCGGGUAUUCGUCACAGUUUGUCAGUUUAUCACUACAAGGAACAAUUCGUGAAGGGGCUACAGAAAACAAUACAGUCUUCAAAAUCAUUAAAAACAAUUUUAAAAAAUGCACAAUUAUUGAAGGUGUGUAUUUAAAUAGAAUCAAAUGAAAAAAAGUACCGUUUCUGAAAACAAAAUAAAUACCUAAGCAAUAUCCACAGUACGCUGGACAAUUCUUUAGGGACCAGGGAUUAUAUACAUCGUUGGUGACAAAAAUCAUGGACGGAUUGUAAAGUCUACAGCAUCUAUGCAAACUGAAAAAAAUUAACAAGAUACGAAUUAAACUAUUGCCAC